rnacentral:rRNA from 1 species
UGACGCGUUAGAAUACUCAAGCUAUGCAUCAAGCUUGGUACCGAGCUCGGAUCCACUAGUAACGGCCGCCAGUGUGCUGGAAUUCGCCCUUGCUCAGUAACACGUGGGAAUCUACCUGUUAGUGGGGGACAGCCCAGUGAAAGCUGGAUUAAUACCGCAUUACGCUACGGGGGAAAGCAGCAAUGCGCUAACAGAUGAGCCCGCGUAAGAUUAGCUAGUUGGUAAGGUAAAGGCUUACCAAGGCGACGAUCUUUAGCUGGUCUGAGAGGAUGGCCAGCCACAUCGGGACUGAGACACGGCCCGGAACUCUACGGGAGGCAGCAGUCGGGAAUAUUGGACAAUGGGCGCAAGCCUGAUCCAGCAAUACCGCGUGUGUGAAGAAGGCUGCGGGUUGUAAAGCACUUUCAGUGGGGAAGAUAAUGACGUUACCCACAGAAGAAGCACCGGCUAACUCCGUGCCAGCAGCCGCGGUAAUACGGAGGGUGCAAGCGUUAAUCGGAAUUACUGGGCGUAAAGCGCACGUAGGCGGCUUUUUAAGUCAGAUGCGAAAUCCCCGGGCUCAACCUGGGAACUGCACCUGAUACUGGGAAGCUAGAAUGUGGGAGAGGAGAGUGGAAUUUCCGGUGUAGCGGUGAAAUGCAUAGAGAUCGGAAGGAACACCAGUGGCGAAGGCGGCUCUCUGGACCAACAUUGACGCUGAGGUGCGAAAGCGUGGGUAGCAAACAGGAUUAGAUGCCCUGGUAGUCCACGCCGUAAACGAUGUCAACUAGCCGUCAGGCCCGCUUUAGGGUUUGGUGGUGCAGCUAACGUAUUAAGUUGACCGCCUGGGGAGUACGCUCGCAAGAGUAAAACUCAAAGGAAUUGGCGGGGGAGCACAAGGGCGAAUUCUGCAGAUAUCCAU